rnacentral:rRNA from 1 species
AGAGUUUGAUCCUGGCUCAGAGUGAACGCUGGCGGCAUGCCUAACACAUGCAAGUCGAACGGCAGCAUGGCGUGUAGCAAUACACGCUGAUGGCGAGUGGCGGACGGGUGAGGAAUACAUCGGAAUUUGCCCAGUCGUGAGGGAUAACGUAGGGAAACUUACGCUAAUACCGCAUACGACCUAACGGUGAAAGCGGGGGAUCGCAAGACCUCGCGCGGAUGGAUAAGCCCGAUGUCGGAUUAGCUAGUUGGCGGGGUAAAGGCCCACCAAGGCGACGAUCCGUAGCUGGUCUGAGAGGAUGAUCAGCCACACUGGGACUGAGACACGGCCCAGACUCCUACGGGAGGCAGCAGUGGGGAAUAUUGGACAAUGGGGGCAACCCUGAUCCAGCAAUGCCGCGUGUGUGAAGAAGGCCUUCGGGUUGUAAAGCACUUUUGUCCGGAACGAAACGUGCGGGGCGAAUAGCCUCGUAAACUGACGGUACCGGAAGAAUCAGCACCGGCUAACUUCGUGCCAGCCGCCGCGGUAAUAC